rnacentral:ncRNA from 2 species
AAUUCCGAAUAGGGGUGUUCUGGCUUUAAUACAGAACUGAGAGCAUACCCUUUGAACCUGAUACAGUUAGUACUGUCGUAGGGAAAUCGGAGAACAAUGCC